rnacentral:lncRNA from 1 species
UUAUUUCCUUCUCUCAUUUUUAAAUUGCUUCAUUACCAUUUAUAAUAGUUAACCUCAUGUCUAUCUGAACACCAAAAAAGCCUUUUUCUUAGUAAAUAUGGAGUUAGCUGCAUGAAUCUAUUUUGGCUAUUCCACUUUGUUUAUUGCUAGAUCUUCCAAAAGAUCUAAAGCAACUACCACUUUAUCAAUUACAACACCACCUUGUUAAUUUUGUUCUACCUCUCCACUCGGAAGUGAAGUCUCUUAAAAUUGAUGCUAAACAUGAUAAGCACCUAGUCCAUUCUUGUAGUUAUGCCGUGUCUAGAAUUUAUUUUUAAUGUUAAUUAUUUUGCACAAAGAAUUUGAAAUGUUGUGUGUUUUCCAAAUCUUUGUAAUUUGGAUGGUUGCAAGAUAUUUUCUUCAUCAAAUUUAAAGGAAUAUUUGUGACACAUGGAAUUUAGAAUUCUUGGUGACAGUGUAUACUUUUUCCUUGGUUAUAUCUAUAUUUGGUAAUCCUGUUGAUGGCAUUGAUCUCAGGAAGUUUUCCUUAAGUUCCCUCAUUAACUGCAAAAAUAUUACGUCUUUUUAGUAGCAUGUAACUGGCCAAUUUAACUUUACCCUUGACAUGACAUCUGUAGUGGUCUGCACGACCCCCAUUAACCAUAUCUACAUUUAAGCGAAUUUCAGCUGCAUGAAUCUAUUUUGGCUAUUCCACUUUGUUUAUUGCUAGAUCUUCCGAAAGAUCUAAAGCAACUACCACUUUAUCAAUUACAACACCACCUUGUUAAUUUUGUUCUACCUCUCCACUCGGAAGUGAAGUCUCUUAAAAUUGAUGCUAAACAUGAUAAGCACCUAGUCCAUUCUUGUAGUUAUGCCGUGUCUAGAAUUUAUUUUUAAUGUUAAUUAUUUUGCACAAAGAAUUUGAAAUGUUGUGUAUUUUCCAAAUCUUUGUAAUUUGGAUGGUUGCAAGAUAUUUUCUUCAUCAAAUUUAAAGGAAUAUUUGUGACACAUGGAAUUUAGAAUUCUUGGUGACAGUGUAUACUUUUUCCUUGGUUAUAUCUAUAUUUGGUAAUCCUGUUGAUGGCAUUGAUCUCAGGAAGUUUUCCUUAAGUUCCCUCAUUAACUGCAAAAAUAUUACGUCUUUUUAGUAGCAUGUAACUGGCCAAUUUAACUUUACCCUUGACAUGACAUCUGUAGUGGUCUGCACGACCCCCAUUAACCAUAUCUACAUUUAAGCAAACUUGUGUUAGAAAACAAGUUACAACAUAGGCCUAAAAUGUUUUUCUUACAUCUGCUAGCUUGUGCUUGUGUGAUUUUACGAAUUCAGGUAUCCUGUAACCACCACAUAUCCAGGCUAGUUUGCUUUCACUUAUCUUCGAUUUAGUUUUCUUUUUCUGGAAUAUAAGUUACGGAUCUCAUGUGUGAUGAGUUUUGCAGGUCCAGGUUCCUGCUUAUAAGGACCAGAACUUAUUUUAAUCAUAGCUUGCCGUGGUGUGUACAGGUGC